UCGGGAAUUUUGGGCAAUGGGCGAAAGCCUGACCCAGCAACGCCGCGUGAAGGAUGAAGUAUUUCGGUAUGUAAACUUCGAAAGAAUAGGAAGAAUAAAUGACGGUACUAUUUAUAAGGUCCGGCUAACUACGUGCCAGCAGCCGCGGUAAUACGUAGGGACCAAGCGUUGUUCGGAUUUACUUGGCGUAAAGGGCGCGUAGGCGGCAAUUCAAGUCAUCUGUGAAAUCUCCGGGCUUAACUCGGAACGGUCAGAUGAUACUGCUUUGCUAGAGUGCAGAAGGGGCAAUCGGAAUUCUUGGUGUAGCGGUGAAAUGCGUAGAUAUCAAGAGGAACACCUGAGGUGAAGACGGGUUGCUGGGCUGACACUGACGCUGAGGCGCGAAAGCCAGGGGAGCAAACGGGAUUAGAUACCCACGUAGUCCCUGAGCGGGCUGGCAAGGCGCAU
rnacentral:rRNA from 1 species